GUGUACCCUAGGGUUCCCCUGAACGCUUCAUGGGGCAAUCUUGGCUGCUGCAUAAUAUGUAGCCAUUUGGCCUUCUGAAGUGUUUGGGGGAACUCCCGGGUUUCAC
rnacentral:pre_miRNA from 1 species